UUGGUGAAUCUAUGGAUGCUGC
rnacentral:siRNA from 1 species